rnacentral:rRNA from 1 species
GACGAACGCUGGCGGCGUGCCUAAUACAUGCAAGUCGAACGCUUCUUUUUCCACCGGAGCUUGCUCCACCGGAAAAAGAGGAGUGGCGAACGGGUGAGUAACACGUGGGUAACCUGCCCAUCAGAAGGGGAUAACACUUGGAAACAGGUGCUAAUACCGUAUAACAAUCAAAACCGCAUGGUUUUGAUUUGAAAGGCGCUUUCGGGUGUCGCUGAUGGAUGGACCCGCGGUGCAUUAGCUAGUUGGUGAGGUAACGGCUCACCAAGGCCACGAUGCAUAGCCGACCUGAGAGGGUGAUCGGCCACAUUGGGACUGAGACACGGCCCAAACUCCUACGGGAGGCAGCAGUAGGGAAUCUUCGGCAAUGGACGAAAGUCUGACCGAGCAACGCCGCGUGAGUGAAGAAGGUUUUCGGAUCGUAAAACUCUGUUGUUAGAGAAGAACAAGGAUGAGAGUAACUGUUCAUCCCUUGACGGUAUCUAACCAGAAAGCCACGGCUAACUACGUGCCAGCAGCCGCGGUAAUACGUAGGUGGCAAGCGUUGUCCGGAUUUAUUGGGCGUAAAGCGAGCGCAGGCGGUUUCUUAAGUCUGAUGUGAAAGCCCCCGGCUCAACCGGGGAGGGUCAUUGGAAACUGGGAGACUUGAGUGCAGAAGAGGAGAGUGGAAUUC